ACCAUUAUAAUUAAAUGGUAUAAUAUCGUGUUACCAAUACGAAUUUAUAGGUUCAAAUCCUGUUAAUGGUA
rnacentral:tRNA from 1 species